GGAAUCGUGAUGAAAUUGGCUAUCAUAACGGACUUUUAAUCCGUCUUUGCAGGUUCAAAUCCUGUCGAUUCCACCA
rnacentral:tRNA from 1 species